AUUGAACGCUGGCGGCAUGCCUUACACAUGCAAGUCGAACGGUAACAGGUCUUCGGAUGCUGACGAGUGGCGAACGGGUGAGUAAUACAUCGGAACGUGCCCGAUCGUGGGGGAUAACGCAGCGAAAGCUGUGCUAAUACCGCAUACGAUCUACGGAUGAAAGCGGGGGAUCGCAAGACCUCGCGCGGACGGAGCGGCCGAUGGCAGAUUAGGUAGUUGGUGGGAUAAAAGCUUACCCAAGCCGACGAUCUGUAGCUGGUCUGAGAGGACGACCAGCCACACUGGGACUGAGACACGGCCCAGACUCCUACGGGAGGCAGCAGUGGGGAAUUUUGGACAAAUGGGCGCAAGCCUGAUCCAGCCAUGCCGCGUGCAGGAUGAAGGCCUUCGGGUGUAAACUGCUUUGUACGGAACGAAAAGACUCCUCUAAUACAGGGGUGAAGUGACGGUACCGUAAGAAUAAGACACCGGCUAACUACGUGCCAGCAGACCG
rnacentral:rRNA from 1 species